rnacentral:tRNA from 1 species
GCCCGGAUGGUGAAAUAGGUAGACACAAGGGACUUAAAAUCCCUCGGCGCAAGCCAUACCGGUUCGAUUCCGGUUCCGGGCACCA